AUCGGUUUUCGGCCUGUUGCCUAAGAUUAAGUGUAGUAUCUGUUCUUAUCAGUUUCAUAUCUGAUUCGUACCCUUGCUGGCAACCAUAUAUUGAAUGGAUUUUUCAGAACGGGGGCCGAUUUUGAAGCUUAUUCCAUCACCCUAGGUGUGUGACUGAUAGGGCAGUUUCUGCAGCUUCAGUACAUCCCAC